GGCGAAAAGAGCUUGAUCUGGCUGAGCAGUAGAUUGUGAAUCUAAAGGUUGAGGGUUCGAAUCCCUUUUUUCGCC
rnacentral:tRNA from 1 species